AGUGAACGCUGGCGGUAGGCCUAACACAUGCAAGUCGAACGGCAGCACAGGAGAGCUUGCUCUCUGGGUGGCGAGUGGCGGACGGGUGAGGAAUACAUCGGAAUCUACUCUGUCGUGGGGGAUAACGUAGGGAAACUUACGCUAAUACCGCAUACGACCUACGGGUGAAAGCAGGGGACCUUCGGGCCUUGCGCGAUUGAAUGAGCCGAUGUCGGAUUAGCUAGUUGGCGGGGUAAAGGCCCACCAAGGCGACGAUCCGUAGCUGGUCUGAGAGGAUGAUCAGCCACACUGGAACUGAGACACGGUCCAGACUCCUACGGGAGGCAGCAGUGGGGAAUAUUGGACAAUGGGCGCAAGCCUGAUCCAGCCAUACCGCGUGGGUGAAGAAGGCCUUCGGGUUGUAAAGCCCUUUUGUUGGGAAAGAAAUCCAGCUGGCUAAUACCCGGUUGGGAUGACGGUACCCAAAGAAUAAGCACCGGCUAACUUCGUGCCAGCCGCCGCGGUAAAAC
rnacentral:rRNA from 1 species